AAGCCAGACUCCUACGGGAGGCAGCAGUGGGGAAUAUUGCACAAUGGGGGAAACCCUGAUGCAGCAACGCCGCGUGAGUGAAGAAGUAUUUCGGUAUGUAAAUCUCUAUCAGCAGGGAAGAAAAUGACGGUACCUGAGUAAGAAGCCCCGGCUAACUACGUGCCAGCAGCCGCGGUAAUACGUAGGGGGCAAGCGUUAUCCGGAUUUACUGGGUGUAAAGGGAGCGUAGACGGCGAUGCAAGUCUGAAGUGAAAGCCCGGGGCUCAACCCCGGGACUGCUUUGGAAACUGUAUGGCUAGAGUGCUGGAGAGGCAAGCGGAAUUCCUAGUGUAGCGGUGAAAUGCGUAGAUAUUAGGAAGAACACCAGUGGCGAAGGCGGCUUGCUGGACAGUAACUGACGUUGAGGCUCGAAAGCGUGGGGAGCAAACAGGAUUAGAUACCCUAGUAGCA
rnacentral:rRNA from 1 species